CCUUCCGUGGGACUCAAUAUCUGCGGUUAAAGCAGAAUUACUAAGGGCCAGACCAGUUGUAGUACUCCCCGAAAGAGAGGGCUGCAUUUUGGGCGCUCAGAAAUUCCUCCUCACAGGGGCUUUCACAGUCGUUUCCUGAGGCUUCCGGGAAACGGAUAUUUCCCGGUCAGGUCCGGCCCCUUGGGGAGCCACAGCGCCCCCUGCUGGCCGCCGCCGCCAGAGCCGCUGUCAACAGGCCGGGCCUCGGCGCUCGCCCACAGGCUGGUCCUGCAGCAUGGAGUGGAGCCGCCGCUCUGUGCUCGCCGUGAUCUUCCUCCUUUGCCUCCACGUGGCCCAAGCUGGAAUCCGAAAUACUAAAACGAAACCUGGAUAUUGCCCAGAGUUCUCUCUUCCCUGCGUUUUCACGCUUUUCCCUGCGUGCAGACGCGAUGUUGGUUGCCAGGGGGUCAGGAAGUGCUGUUACUACAACUGUAAACGUCGCUGUAUGGAGCCCUGGUGGAGUAUGGAUUGAGGUGGAAUCCCCGUAUUAGGAGGACUGAGACAGACUCAGACUUAGUCUUGGAUCCCUGUUCUCCAAUUCUUCCUCACUUCUUGUAUCCCCAGGACUUUCUUUAUCAAUAGUUAAAUGCUUAGUAAAAAUGUUGUAAUAUGAAAAACAACACAACAAAAAAAUAAAAUAAAAAG